UAGACUUGAUAAAACAUAGAUGUUACUCGAAAAAUGACAAAACAUGACACGGUCAAUUUUGAAGUAAAGACUUGAAAUUAGACUUACUGAUAUAGCAAGGCUAUCUCAAUAAUGUUAUAUGGGAAUUAAAUCUCAAAUGUUGAAGAUUUAAGAAAGCAUUUUCCUAUGUGAUAGGAAAUCACUUUCAUAACCCUUAUAAUGAAUGUGUCAUAAAAUCACAAAAGGGACACGUGUAUUGACUUGUGAAGUAGAUAUCCAAAGGUGAAGAAACCACUGAGUUUAUCACUUUAAGAUAUUACUAUAUCCCAGGAUCAGAACCAAAGCAACUGAUAGAGUAUUAUUGCCUUUUAAGAAAGAAACAUCAGAGUGGGACUCUGGAAGCGUGCAUUCACUUAGGUUGUUAACCAAAGUGAAAAAUAAGCCAUUUUAACAAAUGGAACUUCAUGUUGGAUGAAGUACUAAUCAUAUGAAUGAAUUGUUAGUAUUGUACUACAAUGGUCUCAAGAUUGGAGCAAAGUUUGUAUAAAGUAUACAAACGAAAUAUAUGUAGAUAUAUAAGUUUUAGAAACUGCUUCAAAAAGGUGUUUUGAAUGAAAGGGGUUCUUUUAGAACCCAUGAUUGAAUCCAAACCAUAAGGUCGUUAGUAGAGUACUACGACGUAAUGGGGCGAUAGCUCAAGCCAUGGAAUCAAGGUCUCAUCAAAUUUUUCGAACACAUUAAAGAGACAUCAUCAAAUGUCUUGGAAACAUUUGAUAAGUAAAUCCCUUUUAAAAUAAAAGAGAUUAAUACAUAACCAAGUUGACCUACGAGCAUAAACUCUCUCGACAAGAUGUAUAAGAUACACAAGUGAUUGACUUUAGUGCAAGUGGGAGAUUGUUGGAAAUAUGCCCUGAAAGUCAAUCUUUGGAAGAAAUCUUUCAGGACAAAUGAAUCGAUGUAUGGAUGAUUCUUAUACAUCAAAUGGCAAAGAUACUAAUUAGGACUAUCUCAAUAAACGAAAUAUGUCCUAAAUAGUGAAUCCAUGGACAAUGGAUUGAUUGAAGAAGUAAUCUAAUGAUGUUAGACUACAGAGACCUUCUUCACAUAACCAUUAUGUCCAAAAGGUUCCUGGUCGUUGGAUUGUCAGAGGGAUACUGACAAUGCUUAGACUGGU
rnacentral:lncRNA from 1 species